rnacentral:rRNA from 1 species
UACGUAGGGUCCAAGCGUUGUCCGGAAUUAUUGGGCGUAAAGAGCUCGUAGGCGGUGUGUCGCGUCGGAUGUGAAAGCCCGGGGCUUAACCCCGGGUCUGCAUUCGGUACGGGCAUGCUGGAGUUCGGUAGGGGAGACUGGAAUUCCUGGUGUAGCGGUGAAAUGCGCAGAUAUCAGGAGGAACACCGGUGGCGAAAGCGGGUCUCUGGGCCGAUACUGACGCUGAGGAGCGAAAGCGUGGGGAGCAAACAGG